AGAAGGGACGGGAGACUGACCUCCUGUCGUCCCUGCCCGGUCCCAUCAGUGUUCCCCGGCUCCAAUCCACUCCUCUACCUAGGUCGGGAUGUGGGCUCCUGUAAGCCUGGUACCACCAAAGGCCGAAUGACUUACUGAGGCUUUGCGGGCCAACAGGUCUCUGUCCCAAUUACUAAACUCUUCCACUAUAUGCCAAAAACAGGUACAGACAACAGUAAAUUAAUAGGAUGUGUUCCAAGAAAACUUUACUUACAAAAACAGGCAAUUGGCCAGAUUUGCCCAGUCAACCAUAGUUUGCCAACCUCUACCCUAGACCAGUGGUUUUCAAUGCAGGCUGAACAUCAGUCAGCUGUGAAGCAUACAGAUGUUUAAGCUUCACCCUGGACUUCUGGAUGGGGUAUGGAAAUCAAUGUUUCAAAUGUCCCAAUAGAAUCAGAUGUGAACACAUUGUGUUGCAUUCAAGAUCUUCCACUGUCUUAGUCCAAGCUGUCUUCUGGCUCUUUCUAGCUAAGUUGUCAUCUAACUUAUCAUCUCUAAUAAGUUAACUUAUUAAUACAAUUAAGAAUGCCUUAAGAAAUCCUUAAGGAAAAUAAGGAUUUUUAUUUUCAGAUGGUGAAAAUUAGGUACCAAUAGGGAAAUAGGGUUAGCAAGAGAAGUCAAGCCUUGGACCUAGUAGAUCUGUCUCAGUCUAGAGCUUUGCUCACCAAGCUGUGCUUUUUAAAAUUUGAACACAAUCAUCCUUCAGCAAUGGAGCUGGAAAUAAAUUUGCUGUUCCUCUAGGCCUACACACACAAAUCAGAUUCAUGUUUUUACCCACCACAGCCACUUGAAAUACAAUAGAUUCCAUUUUAGAAAUUAUAUUAUAAUCUAAGGACUACUCUCGCCCCAGUCCUACCUGCUUUUCUAGAGGUAU
rnacentral:lncRNA from 1 species